GCGGCGGUGCCAGAGAGUCUUUGAAAAGUGCGAUGUAGUGAGGAUGCUCGCCAACCAGGCGGAGCACGGCGACCAUGCUGGCAUCACCGCGGCAGCAGCGACAAUGGCCCACGCCAAGCAGGCAGUUGGCAACUGCGUCCUGGUGCCCCUGCAGCAGAUUGCCAAGGAUAGCUUGUACAAGAUGGACGAGAAUGUCGUCUUCCCAGAUGGUACAACGAUCUCA